rnacentral:rRNA from 1 species
UACGAAGGGGGCUAGCGUUGUUCGGAAUCACUGGGCGUAAAGCGCAUGCAGGCGGAUCGCUAAGUCGGGGGUGAAAGCCCGAGGCUCAACCUCGGAACUGCCUUCGAUACUGACGAUCUUGAGUCCGGGAGAGGUGAGUGGAACUGCGAGUGUAGAGGUGAAAUUCGUAGAUAUUCGCAAGAACACCAGUGGCGAAGGCGGCUCACUGGCCCGGUACUGACGCUGAGAUGCGAAAGCGUGGGGAGCAAACAGGAUUAGAUACCCUGGUAGUCCACGCCGUAAACGAUGGAUGCUAGCCGUCGGUGGGCAUGCCCUUCGGUGGCGCAGCUAACGCAUUAAGCAUCCCGCCUGGGGAGUACGAUCGCAAGAUUAAA